CCUAACCCUAACUUUCCCAUUCCCUUUCAGCCACCACACACCCUUCACCCUUCCAAAAUCAAACAGAAAAAACCAACACUUUGCAGCAGCAAAAAUUAACCGAGAGGAAGAAAAGAGAGGAGAGGGUGCGAAUCAGGAGAGGGGAAAGGGGGAGAGUGCGCCGACGAGUCACCACCGCUCGUUGCGCUGCCGUCGUCGCUGAUGAGGGAGGAACGAGGAGAGUGUGUCGCGGAGCAGGAGGAGUUAUCCGCAUACGCCACCGUCGCGCACCACCACCACGUCGCCGACGAAGGGGAGAGAGCGAACCGCGCUGUCCGUGAAGCCUGGCUCGCUGUCGUCCGUGCGCGUCGCCGUCGAGGGUCCAUCCACGCCAUCGCUGGAGCUUGAACGCCGCUGCAACCACCGUGAGUUAUCAUCUUCAGAUCCGCCGCCGUUUGAGUCGCGAAUAGGGGAACGCGCGCGAAGGAAACCAUCGUGGAGCUGCCGUCGCCGCCGCGUUGCUGGGCUCGCCGUCGUUCUGCCCGCGCUGUUGCUGCGUUGCCGGAGCUCCUCGCCGCCGUUGCUGGCGCCGGAAACCGCCUUUUAAGUCUGUGUCUGUUGGUUAUACGGUCACCGUGAGUCUCUCUGUCGCCGUCCAAGCCGCCAUCAGAAGGAUCCACCACAGCCUCCUCUAUUCUUGUCUUCGGAUCAGUACUGCCCUUUUCCAGUUUCAAUCCCAAUUCUGCUAUUUCUGAAUAUGUAAUAGUAUUAAUGGUACUAACGAGCUAUUAGAGUUGCUGCCGCUGCUGAAAUUAACAAAAAGAGAAGGAAGUUACCGUGUUUAACCUAUGUGAAUUCAGCUAGUCGAGCUUUACUUUUCAGGAACCGAA